GACUGUGGAGAUCUACAGCAGAUAAGCAUGGCAAUUCAGAUCUUGGACUCCAAAAGUGAUUUGCAGAAGACAUCUUGGAAUGCAUGGGGCUGGAUUUUCUGAUGGUUACUGCUCCCAUCUCUGAACAGAAAUGCCUUGCUGAAUGUUGAAUGACCAUCAACUCAACCUUGCCAAGACAGAACUGCUCAUGUUUUCAGCCAGCCCAACCUUGGUGUUACAGUGGACACAUAUGAACUUCAUUGACCACAUUGCAGUGGCCCGAUCCUGCAGAUUUGCCCUUAUGGGGCAUGCAACAGAACUGCUUGUCCAAGCUCUUAUUUUCUCUAAACAGGACUACUGUACUUCUCUCUUAGUAGACCUUCCAGCAAGUCCUACCAAGCCUCUGCAACUAAUCCAGCAUAUGGCACUGAGUGGAGUCUUUAAUGAGUUGAAGAGAGUGACGUCACACAAAUCAUCACUUUGCACUGGUUGCCAGUAGCCGUUCACAUCACAUCACAAAGAGGUACAAAUUCACUUUCACAGACCUUUACUUUGACUGUUUG